rnacentral:rRNA from 1 species
UACGUAGGGUGCGAGCGUUGUCCGGAAUUAUUGGGCGUAAAGAGCUCGUAGGCGGUUUGUUGCGUCGGCUGUGAAAACCUACAGCUUAACUGUGGGCCUGCAGUCGAUACGGGCAGACUAGAGUUCGGCAGGGGAGACUGGAAUUCCUGGUGUAGCGGUGAAAUGCGCAGAUAUCAGGAGGAACACCGGUGGCGAAGGCGGGUCUCUGGGCCGAUACUGA